GCACAGGCAGGGAGCUGUGUAGUGUCUUGCUUUCACCCUACCCUCAAAAGCCUGAAGCAAUGACAAAGGCUGUUCAAAGUGCUGAGGAACCAAGGAAAUGUACAUAUUUGGCUUAAUUCAUAAAACUGUCAUUGAAGGCCAGCUAAGAAGACGAAGAUUUUUGUCCAGGAUCUGCAGCUGUGAGACCACAGAAAGUUUGUUGACUCAUGACCUAGAUGACUGCAAGAGCCUACAAUGAAGUCCCUCUGCAAACAGAAGCAAAAGGCACAGUCUGCUCCUCCUAAAGCAAGUCCACAUCUCUACUCCAGAAAAGAGCAAACUAUUUACAACUAUUUAAAUACAGCCUUUUCAUCUUAAAAAUUACAUUAAGUUUCUGGAAUUCUGAUAUACCCAAUUCCAACUCUGGCACUCUUCCAAUCAAC
rnacentral:lncRNA from 10 species